GGGGGGCAUUGAAUUUUUGCAAACAAAGCGCAGCACAGCCCGGGCAUUCCCUGAUGGGAUGUUUUUUGUUUUUUUUUUGGGGGGGGCUGCUUUGGGCAGGGUCCAAGCUCCAAGCGCGGAGGAUCCAUGCAUUUAGCAUCUGUGGGCACCCUGCUGCUGGGGUGCAGUGUCCCCCAUCCCACCCCUGCCUCCCCAAAAUCCCCCCAAAUCCCCCCAAAUCCCCCCCAAAUCCCCCAAAAUCCUCACAGGGGGACUGAUCGGUGGCUGAAAGCCUCUUACCCAGCAUCUGGCACGGCUCAUGUCCAGCUGGGUGCUGAGACCCGAGGGGCUCUCUGCACCCAAGGAUGCUCACAGCAGCCUCGUCCCAUCCCGUCCUGCUGCAGGGGGGGUCUGGGGCUGAACACCACCCCCCUUGGGGACACCCAAAACCUCCUCGCCCUCGCCGGCAGCCGCUGGUCUCCACCCGCCAGCCCCGGCGCCAGGGCUUUCCAGCGGUUCCCAGCGCUUUCCAGCGGUGGUUUUGAAAGAGCCGCAUUGUCUGCUUCCCCCCCCCCCGCUGUGGCCCCCUGCUUCUCCGUGUGUGUGGGGGGGUCUGGGCAGCGAGCUCCCCCCCAACAGGAUCAGCCUCACCCCCUCCGUGCCUCAGUUUCCCCCUGGCACCUUUUGGGGUGCAGGGGGUGUGGGGCUCAGCCCCCCCGAACCCCCAGAUCCCUGGAAACGGACACCAUGGUCCCGUGGGACCCCACGUGGUGCCUGCUGCUGGGGCUCUGCGCCCUGCUCCCCGUCGCCGGCACCCAGGGGACCCCAACCGAGGAUGCGGUGCCGGGGGUCCCCGAGCGCUGCGGCGUCACCUUCCACACCCCCAACCCCUGCGGGGCCCCCCAAACUCCCCCCUCGGCCUCUCGCCAAGAGCUGGAGCAUCUCCAGAGCCUCCUGCAGCAAACCAGGGCCAGCCUGCAGGACGUGGAAGCGGCGGCGGCGCUGGAGGAGCACCGGCCCCGCUACCAGGACGUGAUCGCCGAGGCGCUGCCCGCCAUCCGCGGGGCCAACCGGGAGUUCCAGGAGAGCCUGGACAACGUCCGCAGGGAGCUGGAGGCGCACGUGGCCGAGAGCGAGCACCCGCAGGAGGUGGAGAAGAGGGAGAAGCUGCGGAAGGACGUCCGCGUGGUGGCCCACGUCCUGCGGCUCACCGCCCGCCUGGCCCGCGCCCUCGACGCCUCCUCGCAACGCCUCCAGGACGAGCUCCACCAGCGCCUGCAGCGCUCGGCCGCCCGCGCUGCUGCCGCCCCCCAGCCCUAAGGCUCUGCCCCCCACUUUCUAUAUGGCCUUGCUUGCUGGUAGGACCCUAUUUUGCCCCCCAGCCGGCUCGCCCUCACCGCUUUCGGGGUGCCCGGCUCCAACACGCGGUCCCUAGGGUUUGGGGAGCGAGCUGGGUGCCGGGCUGGCACCGGCGCACUGCCCGUAGCCCCAGCCCCAAGUUUUUAACGCAUUUAUCCCGCAGGAGCUGCACCCUGCUGGGGCACAACCCCGUGCACCCUACGCACGGGGAGAUCCCCCCUGCUGCAGGCUCCUUCCCACCAGAGCUCUGCGCCCUCGGGCCCUCCCUGAGGUUGCUUUGUGCAUGCAGCUCGCCAGACUCGUGUGCCAGUAUUUGGGGGCUCCCCAGCACCCCCAGAGUGCCUUAAAAAUGAACCCCAAAUCCUUCGGGGCUCGGCUGGUGACCUCCCCACAUCGCAGCCCUCCUGGAUGCGUCCCCGCGUGGGCAGAGCCACCGCCAGCCCCCGUUAAUCCAUCACCCGGCCUGAAACACCCCCAGCACCCCCCAGCUGCUGGGAGCAGGAGGCUGGGGAGCUGCAGGAAUGGGGACAGGGAUGGGGACAGGGAUGGGGAUGGGGUUGGGGACAAGGUGGCUGCGCAUGUGCACGAACCACCCAGCAGUAAAAUCGAAGCUGGCAACCGGAGCGCACCGAGCCCAGGGGGGGUUUGGGCACCAGGAAAAGAGCUGGAGGCAGAACACCCCGCUGCUUUUGGGAGCCGGGGGGGGGGGCUGCUGGCACAGCGUGUCCUAGGCACCCCAAUGUGCUGGGUGUGGGGUCCCCGCUGUCCCCAUGGGGUCCCGGGGAUGGGCACGAGGUCAGGGAUGCCCGGGGCAGCGGCACGGCACGAUUUGAGGUGCUGGAGGCAGGGGAAUAAAGAGGCACCGCGCUCUGCGUGAUCUCCGUGUCUGUUUUAUCUCCGUCCUCUGCUGCCUGGGGGUGGCCGUGGCUGCCUGCAGCCCCCCCCCCCGGCUCCGAAAUGGCACGGCGAGGGCUCGCUGGCAGCUCCAAAUGGUGCCCAGCACCUCCCGGUGUGGCUGCAGCGGGCACGGUCCCCUCGGCUGCCCCGUGCCCAUGGGACACUCGGGGACAGACCCAGCCGGGGGGGGCGCUUCCCCCAAGCCCCCCUCGCUGCCUGACCAGGAAUCAGCUCCAGAAAAUGGAGAGUCCAUAAAAAUGUCUUUUUUUUUUUCUCCUAAAUCACUCUCCACGGCCUUACAGCGCUCACCCUCCUGGACCCAGACACGGACCCAUCCCCAAAUCCAGGGAGCCGUCCUUGGAGACCUCCCCGCUCUCCCCAGCUGAUCCCUGCCCCUCUUUCUCGCCCCCCCUGUCCUCCUCCUCCACCCCCAGCACCCCCACCCCAUCCCCUGGCCCUGUGGGCAUCUUUAGGACGCAUCCCCAUGGGCUCAGGACCCCGCAGAGGGGCUCAGUACCUUGAGGACACCAGGGACGGAGGCGGGAUGGGGCGCAGAGAAUUCCUAGAGGGGGAGAACCAAAUUCCAGCACCCCCCCACCCUGAUUUGCCGGGCUCUGCCUCCUGGUUUAUCUCCCCGGGGAAAGGAAGCCGAUGAUUGCCCAGGUCCCCCAGGGCUGGAAAUUGCAGCCCUGGGCUUGAGACGCAGGAAGGUUCGAGCGCAACAUUUCCUAGCAGGAAGGAAGGGGGGAGGCUGGU
rnacentral:lncRNA from 1 species